CUUGUAUAAUUUAUCUUCCUCUCAGGGCAUUGGAGUAACAUGUGGGUCCAGGAACUGUGAGGAAUCCCCGCCAGCCAUUGGUUCCUGAAUUGCUUACAAGCAAUCUAAGGAAAAUAUUGACUUGGAAGCCCCUCCACGUGGUCCUGCUUUCUCUGACAGUGAUGUCCAUGCAUGGGACCCAGGGAUAAGCAGCCUCAUCAUCUGAUAGGUAUGUUUAGUCCUUCAGUGGGUGAAGCUGAUCCUUUUUCUGUCUCUUAGUGGUUCAUGGUAUUCUGGACAUCCACAAACCCCAUCCUUUGUCUGCGCUUCCUUUGCUCUGUCAUCUGGAGUUCAAACAAGGACAGAAGUGAGGUAGGAAACCAGGCUGUUAUUCUGUUCAUUAGUGUGCUUCUCAGGUGUGUGACUGACUGGGCUGCUCUAAGCAUCUGCCAGAACACCCCAUGAGUUGGACUCUAGCUGAUGAGGAGGUAACAAAAAGCACAUGACCUAAGUGUUCUUAACUCCCUGCAGAAGAGCUAAAAGAGCCCUUUGAUUUGUAUCCAUAGUUAAAUAGGAAUGGGCUGGUUCUGCCUCCUGCUCUUGGAAUGGGUGUCUAUUUUGGUAAGGACAGAGGGUUUUUUAGUACAAUGGGGUGUUACUCAAGCGUUCCUGUUUUUUAUAAUGUUUAGUACCUGUUCCUUCAGCUCAUUCAGCUGGGAGGUGAGAUGGGACACCAGCUUCAUCGUUGAGUUGAGUUUGUCUUGAAGAUUUCGGAUCUCAUUCUGUUCCCCUUCCCCUUCAUUGCUGACCAGCGACAUGGCUCGCAUCCGGGGGAACCAGUCUAGGUUCUUGUUCUGGGAAGGUGACCGUGGAGAAUGGGAGAGGGUGAGAAGGAAACAAAAGACCCAGUGGGAUUUCCAUGGAGGUCUGCCUAUGCUUAGGGACUGAAGAAAUUCUCAAAGGCUUAUCUGCAUCUUUGCACAUUUCCCACCACCUACUCAUUUAACCUUUUUUCCCCCCAGCCUGGGUCCAGGUUCAGAAGGUUUUUUUCCUAAAUUUCCUUGCUUUUCCUUUUUGCCUUGAAAUCACCUUGCAGUCACAGUCUGUGCCGCCUGGUACAAUCCUUCUAUCCACAGCACAAAACAUCAAAUAGACAGCACGUUGUUGGCUGAGAUUGCAAAGUGGGGUUAAUCAGCUAAGAAAGAACUGUGGAACAACGACUUUCUUAAAUAUUUUUUUUUUGUCAAGCCCACUGUUCUCAAACGUUCCUCUGGGGCAGGCAGGGUGCAGUAGGGCUGCUCAGAAAGGACACGUACCUUUAUCAUCUGAGCCACGUAGCUCUCAGGACCUGUGUAGUCUGUCUUGUUCUUCACUCGCACCAGCACUAUGAAGUACAAGUAGUUCCACAUGUUGUGCUCGUACUUAAUAUGCUCCUCAAAGGACACUGUCUUGUUGUCAAACUUGUCCCGUUCGAGUCCUGGGAAAGGCAGUCAAGUGUGGAGAAGGUGGAGAGAGGAGAAAAGGAGGGGAGGCCAAGGUAAGAAGUGAGCAAGCAAACAAAUGUGAAAGGAAGUACAGAUAAUUGCCUCCUGUCCCAGGUGUGACUUUCAAGAAGUGCUUUUAAUAAUUAGUUGGCAUUUAGCACACAACAAGAAUCCAAAGCAGAGGGAAAAUAACCCAGUUGUGUAUUCAGGAGGCUUCUAUUUAAAGUUCUACUAGCUAUGCUUCCUGCCUAUAUAAUCUAAAAGAACAAAAUGCACCCACUGGAUCUUACAAGGAAAACAAAAACACAAAACAACAGCUAUAUUUAUGGUUGGGUUGGUUUUUUGGAUGCCUUCCUAUGACCAAAAGCAUUCUGGAACAUUUUCCUCUAUUCUAUUUCCUUAGCAAUAUGCUUUUUUUCCAGUUGAUAAAUGCUGGUCCCAGGAGUGAUGCACAGCGACAAGAACACCACAAUGCAGCAUUCAGUUUAACACCUCAUUAACAGAAGGCCAGUAGGAAUAGGGAUAAUUUCCCCUCUCGGUCUGUGUCCUUGUUUAAGUCCCCUCACGCUGUAGUGACCCACUGGUGAACAGAUUUAAGUUGUGCUGUGAAUCAAACGAAAUCUAAAAACCAGCUGAAGCUUCACUUCUUCCCUUGUGUCAUAGGUUGACCUUAAGAAGAGGAACAAUGUGGGGGCAAUUCCUGUACAUGCAGAGCCAAGGACCUUGCACUCACCACAUAUGAAACAAGUGGUCUUCAGUAUUUCUUCUUUCUUUUGCUUCUCGCUCCUCAGAUCAGCAAAGGUGUCAAUAAUGACCCCAAAGAUGAGGUUCAGGACAAUGAUAAUGACAAUGAAGAAAAAGAGGAGGUCGUAGACAACCCGAGCAGGAAACAAGGACUCCUGUGAUGGACAAAAGGGAAAAAACGUGUCUUGCAAACUUCCCUUCCAUCUGCGCUGCCUCACUGCAAGGACUGUAGGCUGAGGGUACAAGGUGAGGAGCAGUCACAGGGGUGUGAUGGGGAAAGCACUGAAGAGUGGCAGUGAGGAGAAAGAGCUGGAAGGGACUUCCAGGGAAGAAGGGCAGCUCUGUAGUGGCAGAAGGAAGGGACCCCACUCACGUCCUUCGACGGCUUGCGCAGAAUGUCCCCUACACCCCCUCCAUUCCUCAGGCCGUGGUUCAGGACAGUGACAAUGCACAUGAGCAGCGUGUCACAGGCUCGUUCCCACUGGUCAGUGUCUGCUUCUACAACACCAGAGGGUAGAAUAAAAGCACAAACCCAGAGCACAGACAGGGCAGAAGAACCAGCCCAUAGCAAAGAAUCCAGAGCCCCAGGAUGAGCUGCAGUGAUGCAGUGCCCCAGAUGGGAGCUCCCAAGCAUCCCAGCAUCUCCUCCAUCUUCCUCCUUGCAAUGGAGGUGUUUGGCUGAGCACCCCCAAAGCACUCGCUUUCUUUAUGACCAAAUUAAAUCAAUAUUUCAACAUUUUUACGCAAGGGAGUGCAGAAUUUGCAGGCCUUUUGCUUAAUAUGUGCCAAAAAGUGGGCUAUUUUUUCCACCUUUCAGUCUUUUGUAGGAUUUUUCUGAGCUCACUGACAAACAAGGCUGUAAGGCUACCCUGCUGCUAACAACACUGACCUUUCUGAUGAGCUCACUUACCUUGCAAGGCAGUGGGCACAGCAGAGCAGCUAAUUUUGUCACCACUGCAGGACUCCAUGAAGGUCUCCAUGUUCCUUUGCAUCCCCAAGGGGUCAUCUGCAAGUAAAAGAGCCCACAGCCUUGUCAGUGUCAGCUCUUUGCUCCUGUCACAAGUGUUCUUCACCUGCAUCUCAUUGCAGCUUUCAACUUGAAAAAAAUAUCUUGAUCCACAUUCUCAUAGCCUUUUCUAUGUUUUGAAUCAUAGAGUGGCUUGGAUUGGAAGGGACCUGAAAGAUUAUCUAGUUCCAACCCUCCUGUCAUGGGCUGGGUAAUCAUCGCACUGAUAUCCCAACUUUGUUCAGAGAUAGUUGCCAGUUUUCCAGGUAAGAUGCCUAAAAACCAUAUUCUCAUCCUUUGAAGUUAAGAGAGCCUUGGGUGCAACCACCAACCAGCUGCUUUUGCAAGGGUAUUCUCUCUUUAAAACAUCCAGAUGUUUUGACUUUAAUCUCCAAGCUAUUGUAUUGUAGUCCAAGUAUAUUACAAAACUGUACUUUAUUCAAAUAAUCUAAGCAUAUUUCUUCCACACUAACUUAUCUCUGUGACUGUAAAAGCAUACCAAAAAGACUUCAAAUGCAAAGAAGAUAAGUAAAAGCCUAACCCAAAACCCUCUGUUAUGAUCGACACACAAGCUGCUUGUUUUUUUAACAGCCAGAGCAAGUUUCAUCAGUGUCAUCCAUCUUUUGCUCAAGUUUCAGUAAGACUUCUGCAGCGCUACAGAAUUCAUUCCUAUCUGCCCACCUCCUUUUCUGCAGUCCCUCCAACCCCCAGGCCUUGUUUUCUGCAGCAUCAGGGCUCUAUGUCAGUGCAGGCAGACUCUUCUCUGCCAGCCCCAAAACCAGCUCUCCCAAGAGUGUGGGACCACACAUCAAUGAUUGCACGCAGUGAUGCAGCCACAGAGACGGACCCGUGCUCUGCUGGUCCCCUUCCAGCCCAAGCACCAAGGACAGCAGUCCAUGGCUUGGCUUACCUUGGGCUUUGCUGUCCGGCAGCCGGUCCACCUCCAGGAUGAAGUCAUCCUUCAGGAACAAGAAGCCCACAAUGGAGAAGAGGUAGACAAGGAUGAGCGCCAGGAGGGCAGUCAGCAGGAUGGAGCGCCCGUUUCGCGUCACGCUCUUGAUGACAUUAAACAAGGUCUCCUCACGGUAGAUCAAGUCAAACAGCUGAAAGGACCCAGGAGCAAAGAAAUGCUGCAGGGUGCUUUUCUGUGACAAUGCCUGGCCUACCUAUGCCCCUUUUAUCCCGAGAUCUAGGAUCACUCAGUAGACACAGACUAACUUUCACAUAAAGUACUCAAGUUUUCCGUCUUACUGCAGAAGAAUGAAGUGAACUUAAGCACAGCAGGAGAGCCAAGAAUAGGACGCAUGCCCCCUGCCUCUGCCCUCACCAGCUCACGUUGUCUCCCAGCUGACCCAGAUAAAGUACGCAGCAGAGAUUAGAAAAAGAGUGAUAGAAAAAGGCUGGGAGAGAGACAGUAAUAGAUGCUGUUGGAAGGCAGAAAGAUCAGCCUACGCAAAUAUUGGAGCACGGGGCAUUGUUCUCACUGCUGUUAUCGAUCAAUGCCUGGAAGGUGUCGCAGGAAACUUCUAGCUCCUAACAACGCAGCCUGGCUAUGUCUGUGCCCCAAACAUUUACUGUACCAGGAUGCUGUAGAAGAGUUCAUGCACAAAGAGCCCCAGGACGCUCGUCAGGAUGUAGCCAACGUGGUAAAGAAACUCCACGUCCAUGAUCAUGGCCUUGUAGCCUCGGAUGAAGGUCCCACGGUUACCCACAAAGCUCACCACAAACACAAUCUUGUUGGUCAGCUGGAGAGCAAGCAGAAAUGGGAGGGAGUGAGGUUUGCUGAGCUUUGUGAGUGAAGAACAGCCUCCUGUGGCAUGGGAUGCUAUGCUAUUUUUCUAGCAGCGCUCUGAGAACUUACAUUGAGAGCUCCCAGGAUGUUCAGUGUGAGUCCAAUCCCCAAGUAAUAAAUUGAUCUCAAGAUCAGGGCCACCAGCAGUGGUCUGACACCGUACCGCUUGGUGAACAGGGCCAUGAUGGAGAAGCAGAUCAGAAUCCAGAAGAGCAGUGAGAUCAAUGGGGAAUCCAGCACUCCUGGGAAGAGAUGACCCACAGCAAUUAAAUGGCAUGAGGUUAAAUGCAUGUUGACAGUCAGACAUUGUGUUACUGUCCAAAGCAUCCAGAAACCCAAUAUGCUGAUUAUCUGAGGGAAGGAAGACAGAAACUGUGCUUGACUGCAGAGAGAUGGUCCCUACUGAUAUGCUUUUCUAACAUCUUUUAUCUGAGAUCACAAAACCACUGUAGAUCAUUAAGAUUUCCAGACAGCUGGUACGUAUUCUGUCCUUACUUCCCCUAUUUUCCAAACAGGGAAAGUACAGCCCAGGGAGAAGAGCCUGUUCCCUAAGAAGGAAGUCGUGGGAGGGCUGGCAACUGAAACCUCAAUUCAGUCCCUUGCCAGGACCAGCAGAAAAAGCUUUAGGAGUCAAGAGGAGACAAAAGCGGAUCACAAGGAAGGGGACAGUGCUCCCUGCACACCAGAAUCCCCGUUUUCCUCCACUUCGAGGAGCAGAAGCUGCUGGGGCACUUACCCAUGGAAGUGGCCUCAACAUAAGGGUAGAAGAAAGCAAUGAUUAUGUUGAUGAAGACAGCCAGGUUGAAGGAAAUGCUUCCCCAGAGAGUCAUUCUGCGGGAGAACCAGUACAUCAGCGGCAUGCCUGCGGGGAGAGGAGGCAGACACACAUCUCAGCCAACCUGGUGCCAGCAGGGAAGGCUGUGACCUCCCAGGCACCCAAACUGAGCUCAGCACAGCCAGUGAGACCUCGCUUCAUGCCAUUGAUAAAAGCUCCCUCUUCAUCUCUUGUAACAGGAACGCAAGUUCAAAAUGUCUCUGCUCACAUUUUGUGGUUUCUGGGCCCUUUGACCUCCCCUGGCAAUCAGAUUGGCUUCACUCAUCACCUCACCCUCCUCACUGUCUCCCACCUCUUACAUCCUCACGCCCUUCCUAACAACAGUGCCUUUGUGUUUGCAGCCUGAUUCUCUGUCCCAGAGGAGACACAGCCAGCAAUUUCCCAUCCAUACUGGAAACCUGCUUCCUGCUGAAUUCCUAAGAUAGUUUUGACUGGAUCUGCAAGUGUUUUCAGUGCUGCCGUGCUACCUCUGAGCCACAACACAGUAUUUAUAGUGUGCCUCCUAACUGUUGACUGAGCUCCUGUUAUUUUAAGCCAGGAAGUUCGUCCCCGUGCAGCCCUGAAAGCACCUAAAGAGAUCUGCAUGGUGCAGAGAAAGCAGCUUUAUCAACAAAAUGUAGCUGCUAGAUGCUGGCUUGGGAGAAGCCAACUGAAAGCAAACAAAGAGAGGGCUCCCUAAGUGAGCACAGCUGCAGGUGUGGAAUGUGUCAGAAGAUGUUCUCAGGCUAUGAGGAAUUGCACUAACAGGUGUGGAGAAAAUACACCUCCCAGGGGCACAGGGAGAUUUCCAGGCUGCCACUGGGGGUCACAGCCCCCUCAAAGCACGGCUGCCCGGCUCACAGCUGCUCUGCUGCAAAGGGAAGGUCUGGCUCGCUCUUACUGCGCAGUUUCUUCUGCCACUCCAUCUCGUUGUGGAGGAAGGACGACUGGUCGAAGAAAUCACUGACUUUGCUGCCCUGCUCAUCCUGCUCCGUCGUGGUGAAGAGUCGGUACUUGGUCUCCUUGGUGAGGAACUCGCAGAUGCCAGGCACUGGGAAGAUUAUCUGCUCCAUGCUGCGGUCCAGGCGCACAAUCUCAAUCUGGGAUGUGUGCUUCUCGUAGUACGCCAGCGGGUCCUCCUCCUCCUCCUGGACGGGGGCCGUCGACUUCAGCAUCUGCGUCAGCUGCUUGUUAUUGAGGCUGAGCUGGGAGAGAAGAGAGGGUGAGAGCGGGGACAGCCGGGGGGGUUGAAGUCUAACUGCACUGACAACAUCGUUCCUCAAAUUGUACCGAACCUGAUGAGGUUUCAGGGGAAAGCAAAUGAAUUAAAGCUUCCCAAAGGGGUACGAGCGCUCCCUGAGGUGACAGACAUUCGAUUCCCUGCAAUAAUUACAUCCAAAAGCUGCUAAUCCACAAAUUACAAAUCAAUGCUCCUAAACCCCAAGGAAAUCAUAUUACUGCUGAAUCUCAUUCGGGAGCCGCGGUACAGUGGGAAGAAAUGGUAGCAGAGGACUCAGCCCUUCCUUUUCUGAAGGGAAGGGCAGGAGGAGGGGAGUAGGGGGAAACCUGGCAGGGCACAGCCCGUCCCUGCGGCACACAGGAUGUCACCUAGGGCUGAGCCUUCCCCAGGGAGCUGCACUCACACGGCUGGGCUACAACAGAUGCAUGUGCCAUUGGGCUUGCUGAUUUGGCUACACGGGCAUUUAUAAACCUCUAUUUCUCCAGUUCACCCUGGGAAUACCAAAAGCCACCAAAUCUUGGCUGAUGAGCAGCGGGGCAGCCCCCAUGCCCAAGGUUUUUCCAUACCAUGGAUGAGAUGCCCUCCUCCUCUUCCUCCUGGAUUCGCUUCACCGGCUUCAGAAGCUGCUGCAGAGACUUGUUGUGUCGGGACAGCUGAAAGGGAACAACAAGAGCUGCGUUAGCAUGGGAUGGAGCAGCCUCUGCAGCACUCAAGUGGGAUGGCCAAUAAGCCAUAAUGCUGGGUUUUCAUGGAAGGCAAAAAGCACAUCCCCCAGCCUGGCUGGAGGAAAUGUAGAUAAAUAAGAUGUGCAAAUGGAUGAAUGGGAGCCCAGCCUGGUGGGUCACUGCUGUCACAGAAGAUUGCAGCAUCAGUACCUGCAGUGCCAGUAUAUAAAUGUUGUGGCCAACUUCCCGAGGGGAAACCUCAGCGUUUUCACACUCUUCCUCCUGCAGAUAGGCCUUCUUAAUCACGUCG
rnacentral:lncRNA from 1 species